CGUAGGUGCGAGCGUUGUCCGGAAUUACUGGGCGUAAAGAGCUCGUAGGUGGUUUGUCGCGUUGUUCGUGAAACUCACAGCUUAACUGUGGGCGUGCGGGCGAUACGGGCAGACUGGAGUACUGCAGGGGAGACUGGAAUUCCUGGUGUAGCGGUGGAAUGCGCAGAUAUCAGGAGGAACACCGGUGGCGAAGGCGGGUCUCUGGGCAGUAACUGACGCUGAGGAGCGAAAGCGUGGGAGCGAACAGGAUU
rnacentral:rRNA from 1 species